rnacentral:pre_miRNA from 1 species
CUAGUACUCCCUCCAUCCGAAAAUACUUGUCAUCAAAAUGGAUAAAAAGAGAUGUAUCUAGAACUAAAAUACAUCUAGAUACAUCCCCUUUUAUCCAUUUUGAUGACUAGUAUUUUCGGAUGGAUGGAGUACAUC